rnacentral:lncRNA from 1 species
GGAUAUAAUUGGUACUGUACUUUUCUUUUUCUUUAGAGCUAUUUCCGAAUUAUGGUUCAGCAGCUCUUUCAUCGCAUUAACUUUAUGAUCAACUCAGAUGCUUCCCAGUAAAAUGCAUGCAUAUAUGCAUGCUCAAUUGCUCAUGAUCUGGUAUUGGUAUUUGUAGGAAGUUGUUGCUCCAUCCAAAUGGAAGUAACCAAGUAAAGAGUAAAGAUCAUAUAUCUCUUUCUUGGACUGGUUGGGAAGUUCAUGCGCAGGUAAGCUUGUUUAUGUAUGAUCAGAUCAAGGAUGACAAGUACGUGACAUUUGAAGGUAAUUUUUUCUUGGCAUAUAGUAUAUUCAAUAGAAUUAAUUUUUAUGCAGUAUCGCUUGAACAUACCAAUAUGUCAUGUACUCAUCAUGUUGAUGCCCAGAUGAUGGAGACAGAAUUCGAAGAUUUAAUCGGGUGAAGACAGAGUGGGGGUACGCUAAGCUCAUACCA